CGGUAAUUCCAGCUCCAAUAGCGUAUACUAAAGUUGUUGCAGUUAAAAAGCUCGUAGUUGGAUUUCUGCGGGGACGGAGCGGCCGGUCGCAACUUGCGACUCGAGCUAGCGCUUUCCCCGCAUCCUGCCGCGAACCGUGCUACCAUUAGUUUGGUGGCGCUGGGGAUCGGCUCGAUUACUUUGAGAAAAAUAGAGUGUUCAAAGCAGGCCACACGCCUUGAAUAAGUUAGCAUGGAAUAAUGACUAAGGACUUUGGUUCUUUUCGUUGGUGUUCGGGACUGAAGUAAUGAUUGAUAGGGACAGUUGGGGCGGUCCGUAUUCCAAAGCGAGAGGUGAAAUUCUUAGACCUUCGGAAGACGAACAGCUGCGAAAGCGUUCUGCAAGGAUGUUCCCUUUGAUCAAGAACGAAAGUUGGGGGAUCGAAGACGAUCAGAUACCGUCGUAGUCUCAACUAUAAACUAUACCAGCUAGGGAUCGGCCAACGUUUAAUUAUUCGACUUGGUCGGCACCUUAUGAGAAAUCAAAGCAUCUGGGUUCCGGGGGGAGUAUGGUCGCAAGGCUGAAACUUAAAGGAAUUGACGGAAGGGCACCACCAGCCGUGGAGCCUGUGGCUUAAUUUGACUCAACACGGGAAAACUUACCAGGUCCGGACAUAGUAAGGAUUGACAGAUUGAUAGCUCUUUCUUGAUUCUGUGGGUGGUGGUGCAUGGCCGUUUUUAGUCGGUGGAUGUGAUCUGUCUGCUUAAUUGCGUUAACGGACGAGACCCCAGCCUGCUAAAUAGCGCGGCCGAGCUUUGCUCGGUGCGAGCUUCUUAGAGGGACCAUGAUGCGCGAUAGCACAAGGAAGUUUGGGGCAACAACAGGUCUGUGAUGCCCUUAGAUGUUCUGGGCCGCACACGGGCUACACUGGCGCCUGCAACGAGCAUAUCAGCUGGCCCGAGAGGGUCUUGGCUAAUCUUUGGAACCGGCGCCGUGCUUGGGAUUGACCAUUGCAAUUGUUGGUCAUGCAACGAGGAAUGCCUUGUAAACGCGAGUCAUCAGCUCGCAUUGAAUACGUCCCUGCCCUUUGUACACACCGCCCGUCGCUCCUACCGAUGAAUGUUCCGAUGAAAUUUUCGGAGAGCGCCGGAGAACGGGGCUCCGCCCUGCAGAACUGGAGGCUCAAAGUCACUUAAAUCUGAACAUUUCGAGGAAGGAGAAGUCGUAACAAGGUAACC
rnacentral:rRNA from 1 species